UCUUUUCUCUCUCAUUUUCACUUCUUCCCUUUCCUUGAUUCGCUGUUGUCCAAAUCUUCCUCUUCGUGGCUCCAGCUCCAUUACUCUCCAUUGAUCAAAGUGAUAACAGUGAAUGGGAGGCAAACAUUUAUUUUACUUUAGAUUGGAAGGCAACAGUUGUUCGUCUCAUAUUUCAUGAGAAAAAAGAAAAUUUUUGGUCCUUCUUCUCUCCGGCAUUCUCUUU